AUUGAACGCUGGCGGCAUGCCUUACACAUGCAAGUCGAACGGCAGCACGGGAGCAAUCCUGGUGGCGAGUGGCGAACGGGUGAGUAAAGUAUCGGAACGUGCCCAGUCGUGGGGGAUAACGUAGCGAAAGUUACGCUAAUACCGCAUACGAUCUAUGGAUGAAAGCGGGGGAUCGCAAGACCUCGCGCGGUUGGAGCGGCCGAUAUCAGAGUAGGUAGUUGGUGGGGUAAAGGCUCACCAAGCCGACGAUCUGUAGCUGGUCUGAGGGGACGACCAGCCACCCUGGGACUGAGACACGGCCCAGACUCCUACGGGAGGCAGCAGUGGGGAAUUUUGGACAAUGGGCGAAAGCCUGAUCCAGCCAUGCCGCGUGCAGGAUGAAGGCCUUCGGGUUGUAAACUGCUUUUGUACGGAACGAAAAGGUUUGGCCUAAUAAGCUGAGCUCAUGACGGUACCGUAAGAAUAAGCACCGGCUAACUACGUGCCAGCCGCCGCCGUAA
rnacentral:rRNA from 1 species